rnacentral:rRNA from 1 species
UACGUAGGAGGCGAGCGUUGUUCGGAUUCACUGGGCGUAAAGGGUGCGUAGGUGGUUAGGUAAGUCCGAUGUGAAAUCUCCAGGCUCAACCUGGAAAUGGCAUUGGAUACUAUCUAGCUUGAGGAGUGGAGGGGGGACUGGAAUUCUCGGUGUAGCAGUGAAAUGCGUAGAUAUCGAGAGGAACACCAGUGGCGAAGGCGAGUCCCUGGACACUUCCUGACACUGAGGCACGAAAGCUAGGGGAGCAAACAGG